AUAUAAAAAAUAACGUGUCUAAUGUCGGCACUACUUAAAGGCGAAUGCGUUGGCCGACGCGUUGGCCGGCGCGCUGGCCCAAUGUGUAGAACGGGCGUUCACACGUUGGC